rnacentral:rRNA from 1 species
UACGUAGGGGGCAAGCGUUGUCCGGAAUCAUUGGGCGUAAAGCGCGUGUAGGCGGCUAGAUCAGUCUGCUGUAAAAGUCAAAGGCUCAACCUUUGAAAGCCGGUGGAUACUGUCUAGCUAGAGUCCGGAAGAGGCGAGUGGAAUUCCUGGUGUAGCGGUGGAAUGCGCAGAUAUCAGGAGGAACACCAACGGCGAAGGCAGCUCGCUGGGACGGUACUGACGCUAAGGCGCGAAAGCGUGGGGAGCGAACAGG